AGUGAACGCUGGCGGCGUGCUUAACACAUGCAAGUCGAACGAGAACGGGUUAUAGCUUGCUAUAAUUGUCAGCUAAGUGGCGCACGGGUGAGUAAUGUAUAGGUAAUAUGCCUCUUACUAAGGGAUAACAAAUGGAAACGUUUGCUAAUACCUUAUACUCCUUAUUAACAGAAGUUAAUAAGGGAAAGAUUUAUUGGUAAGAGAUUAGCCUGUAUUGUAUCAGUUAGUUGGUGGGGUAAUGGCUUACCAAGACUAUGACACAUAACUGGUUUGAGAGGAUGAUCAGUCACACUGGAACUGAGACACGGUCCAGACUCCUACGGGAGGCAGCAGUGGGGAAUAUUGCACAAUGGACGGAAGUCUGAUGCAGCACCGCCGCGUGGAGGAUGACACAUUGCGGUGCGUAAACUCCUUUUGUAUGAGAAGAUAAUGACGGUAUUAUAUGAAUAAGCACCGGCUAACUCCGUGCCAGCCGCCGCGGUAA
rnacentral:rRNA from 1 species